rfam:Callithrix jacchus chromosome 1, whole genome shotgun sequence
GGCUGCUUCUCGCCUCUGUCCAGCUGUGUGACCUGGGACAAGUCUCUUGGUCACACAGCUGGACAGAGGCGAGAAACAGCC